UGUGUGUGAUGACACAUGCACAGGUGCAGGUUUAGAAGAAGCAAAAAAUCCACAUCUUAUAGUUUUGGUUUCCUUCUUGUCAUUCCCUCUUCGGGGUAUGUGGGCUCAGAUGUGUAAGGGAAUAAACCAGGUCGAUAUGAGGUUCUACCACAAAUGUAGCGUGGCUUCCGCUCUUUCUAGACUCUACAGUCUGGUGGCCUACAAACCUCUGCCAAGAAGUUACGCUUCACUUAUGAUUAAGUGGUUUGCCUCCUCAUUUUUCUUCCGCAUAACAGACAGGAUUUGAUGGUUAUCUUAAGCUUAACGUUAUUCAGCCAUAUCCAUGAAGCAAGCUGACUCAGGGGUCACAUCAAUUUAAGUAAAUGAUAAGAAAUAAAUGAGCCGGGUGUAGUGGAAGAAAUACCACCGAGACAAUGAAGCUUAAAAGAAGCUGGUUUGUGCAAACAUUGUGUCAGUAUGUGUGUGUGUGUGUGUUCAAAUCUUUCAGACUUUACUGGAUACAUUUCCACUUCCAGUGGCCUUAAAAUCAGGCCAUUACCAUCUCACUAAUCUCACUUUGAAACUAUAUGACGAAAUGUGCUACAUAAAUAAAUUCCUUGCUUGCUUACAUCAGAGAAAGAUCCUUUGUAUUUUUAAGGGAUUGUAUCAUUCCUGUGAGGAGGGAAAUUCUAUUAUGUUGCCACAUUGAGGGCACACAGGGAAACAUUCAAACCCCACAGGCUCAUCAGACCCGUUUCACAGUGAAAGGCGACCCAGAUAUUUGCCGUACCUGUGUGUCAGUUGCAAAGUGUGUAUUAGAAUGACUUCCUGCUUCAACUUGCACCUAGAAAGCUUUGUUGUGGUUUGGCUCCUGUACUGACGUACUGGGCAUGCUCACUUUCAGUUCUACCUCGAAAUUAUUCUCAUGGUAAUCUGACUUGUUAGUGCUUGUCUGGUUGUCUUUAACUACAUGCACAGAACUUAACCAUGUGUCUGUGCUAUUUUGCAGACUGGAGGAGCCUGAGAUAGGCACAGCGUCUUCAGUUUCUUGGAACUAAAGCGAGAUGUACAGCCAUAAUCACCAUGGCCACGGUGAGGAGACUGCACCAAGCCUGCAGCAGCAGGUGCCUAUAAGACGACCUUGGCUGAUCCCCCAUUCUGUCAGACAAGUUUCUUUCUUCAUCUCUUGGCUCUGUCACUGAGGCCUCAAAGGUGGCAGAGCAUGCAGAGCUCCACUUUGACCCAGGACCCUCAAAUAAAAAAAAAUCAAGACUUCCAUUUCCUAGUUAAAUAAACAUCAGGAUCAAAAAUAACCUUUUUACUUUUAUUAUAAAGUUUUCUUGAUAUUAUAUCUGCAUCUUUUAAAUGUGAAUAUAUUAGAAGGAUUAUUUUGAACAGCGAAUCAUGCAACGCCACUCUAGUGGACACUGAGAACAAAUUUACCAUUGUUAAAGCUCCAAGAAAGUUUUAUUACCUAGUAUUCAACAAUAUAUCCUCUCAUUUGUGAUGUCAUGACCUCUUUAAUUUUAAAUUGCGCCCCUUUAGGGGUGGGUGGGGUCUGGGAGGGUCACUUGAGCAACUAUCCCAGUAUAUUUCUGCAGAAAGAGCGCAUUUUUUCUUCAGCGUGCUUCACCUAUUGUGCUUUAGGGACUUGUACACCUCCACCUCUUCCAUUAGGUCAGAGUGCAAAGCCAGACAGUGAGAUGAGUUGCAAGUAAGUUCUCACUUUCGCUGUCUUAUGAAAUGACAACUUUCUAAGAGAAGUCACUGAAUUCUUGCCCUGAUGAAGUCAAUGUGACAUGUUAACAUGACUCAAAGAAGAACUGGCCUCAAUAAUCCUGUGACCACAAGCACACACAUUUAAACCAGACCCCACAGAAAUCAUUUACAUGGCUCCUAGAAUGGCUGCUUUGCACUUGCCGUGUUAUGGUUAACCUAACCAUGCUGCUGCUUGUCUGGGAUUUUACCUCAGUGGGAGUUUUUUUGUCCGGUACACAGGGUUUCUAUGGUUCAACAUUUUGUGGUCUGCUUGUUUAUUUGUAAUGACAUAGACAGAAACCACUCAGUGAUUGCAAAAAAUGCCACUGACCCUGAACUGUGCGUCCAAUGCACAUUGCUAUGGUUUAAUUUACAUUCCAGUGAGGAUGCACAGCAGGCUUCACAUAGUUGCACUUGUGCCUGGGUUAGACAGUGAAAACACUGGUUCAACCACUCAGUCUGCAAUUCGCUCACGAUUUUGUCUCUUUAAUCUGAACUCUAAAAUCGAUAUGGAUAGCAAUUCAUUUUCUGGGGGGGAAUUAGUCAAAAAGCCAAUAUGAGUGUCAUUAAAUCACUACAAAAUCCGAAAAAUAAACAAAGGGACAUAUUAUUGGGCUCUUUACAUUACUACGCUCUACACAGUUCUGUGUGAAAGCUGAAAAAUCGUAUCCCCGAACACGCCUUCCCUUUUCUGUAAAAACUUUCUAUAUUCUGUCAUGUAAGCAUCACAGCGGCAGCACUGAGCUCAACCACAGACCUCUGAAUGAAAACAUUCACAAAGAAAUCACAGGAAUUUAAGACAAUAUAUACAAUAGGAUCUAAAUCAAUCUUGACUCACCUAGUGUGU